GACAGUGCGACAGUACAAUGAGCGCCAGCGGCCGGCGGGUGGGUGUUAUAGGAUUACGGCUUGACUACAACUGUGGAGACCGCUUUAUAUCAAACCUUAAGCUGCUGGGGCUCAAAGGAAAAUAUCGAUCCAUUGUGUGCUAUUAAGAACAUCUCAAAUACUUUGUUGAAUGAUUCAAGAUGUCCACAAGGGAGUCAAGCAAGGGACCAAUCAACCAUGAAUUCUUUGGAUCUGCCGUUGCUGGGAACAGCGAUCCUGCAAAGGGGCACCGGUUACAUACAAGCUAACCUCUGUCCGAACAGGCCGCUCUAAGUGAAGGCACUUCAACCGGUCCCA